rnacentral:rRNA from 1 species
GUGUCUGACGGACAGUUUGACUGGGGCGGUCGCCUCCUAAAGAGUAACGGAGGCGCUCAAAGGUUGGCUCAGAUUGGUUGGAAAUCAAUCGUAGAGUGUAAAGGUAAAAGCCAGCUUGACUGCGAGAGCUACAACUCGAGCAGGUAGGAAACUAGGACUUAGUGAUCCGGUGGUACCGCAUGGAAGGGCCAUCGCUCAACGGAUAAAAGCUACCCUGGGGAUAACAGGCUUAUCUCCCCCAAGAGUUCACAUCGACGGGGAGG